AUUGAACGCUGGCGGCAGGCUUAACACAUGCAAGUCGAGCGAUCGGCGGACGGGUGAGUAAUGUCUGUGAAACUGCCUGAUGGAGGGGGAUAACUACUGGAAACGGUAGCUAAUACCGCAUACCAUCAGAUGUGCCCAGAUGGGAUUAGCUAGUAGGUGGGGUAAUGGCUCACCUAGGCGACGCUCCCUAGCGGGUCUGAGAGGAUGACCAGCCACACUGGACAUGAGACACGGUCCAGACCCCUACGGGAGGCAGCAGUGGGGAAUAUUGAACAAUGGGAGCAAGCCUGAUGCAGCCAUGCCGCGUGUGUGAAGAAGGCCUGCGGGUUGUAAAGCACUUGCAGCGAGGAGGCGUUACUCGCAGAAGAAGCACCGGCUAACUCCGUGUCAGCAGCCGCGGUAAUUC
rnacentral:rRNA from 1 species